GGUUGGUGUGUGUGUAAGUUGUAAAGUGAGUGAUUCCACACUCUCCUCUCUCUCUUUCUCUCUCUCUCUCCCGCUCCCUCGCUCCCUCUCUUCUUUUUCUGUUUCUGUGUUGGACUGUCUGUCUCUCUGUUUCUCUGUGAGUCCCUCACUCGCUCACUCGCUCAGUCACGGAUCUCUACAAGUCUCUGGUUGCCUAUGAAGAUAUUUGUGAGUGUGUGUGGAUAAGAGAGAGAGGUCUAUCUGGAGGGUCGGAGGAUCGAGUGCUAAUUUGUAUGCGAGGAUUCCCGUUGCGGGCGAUUGGGUGGUGCUGCGAUGAUGUUCAACGGUCGUCUGAAGAUAACGGUGAUGGAGGCGACGGAUCUGGAGCCAACCAACUUCCAGACUCGGCUGAAUCUGGACUCUGGCGGGAAGAGUGCGAAGAUAAGUUUGGACCCGUACGUGUCGAUCGACGUGGACGAAGUGUCAAUCGAGGAGACGUCCAAGAAGUCUAAGACGAAGGAUCCCGUGUGGAACGAGACGUUUACGACGGAUUUGCUGCGGAACGUGUCUGAGUUGGGGUUCACAGUGUUCCACAACGCCACGAUGCCCCCUGACGAUUUUAUUGCCAAUUGUAAAGUGCCUCUGAGCGACUUGACCUCUGGGUCUGAGUUGUGGAUCGAUCUGGAACCAAAAGGAAAAAUACGUGUAAAAAUGGAUCUGAUUUGGGCCUCCUCUGAGGAGACUCGAGGCCCUUUAAGACAGUUUAAAGAGCGGGAAGGGGGCUUCGCGGACAAGCAGCGUCGUUGUGCCAUGAAGAGACGCGUUCAUCAAGUCAAUUCUCACAAGUUCAUGGCUACUUUUCUACGACAACCCACUUUUUGCUCACAUUGUGGAGAUUUCAUUUGGGGAUUCGGGAAACAAGGUUAUCAAUGUCAGGUGUGCGUGUGUGUCGUUCAUAAGCGCUGUCAUGAAUUCAUUACAUUUAAAUGCCCAGGCGUCAAAGACGAAGCAGAGGAAACACAAGGGGCGACUCGAUUUAAAAUUAAUGUUCCUCAUCGUUUUGCAGUGCAUACCUAUGGGAGGUUCACUUGGUGCGAUCAUUGUGGAUCCCUUCUCUACGGCCUUUAUCGACAGGGUCUACAAUGCCAGGUCUGCUAUACCAACGUCCACAAGCGAUGUCAAAAAAAUAUUGCUAAUAAUUGUGGUAUAAAUGCUAGACAGCUUGCAGACAUCCUCAAUGAUAUGGGCAUGACUCCACACAAACUCAAUGAGUCUGCUAAGCCUAAAAAGAAAGGAUCUGCACUUGGUGAAUCUCCCAAUCGUACAGGUCCUACUUCUGACAAAAUGCCUGCGUCACCUUCUCCACUUCCUGAAGAUGAAGUUAUGUCGGAUCGCGAUAGCGAAGCUCAUGCUAAGUUUCAACUUCAAAUUCAAGCGCAAAGAGAAAUGGAAAAGCGUCUGAAUCAAAAGGAUUUCGGUGCAGGAGGAAAAUCUUCAGAACUAACUCCUACAGCGGCUACUGCUGCUAAACAUCUCAAUCUUCAAGAAAUGAUAGAUAAACAAAGUGGUACUAUGAAAUCUAAUCUUGAGGAUUUUAAAUUCUUAAAAGUACUGGGUAAGGGUUCCUUUGGAAAGGUUAUGCUCGCAGAGAAAAAGGAUACAGAAGAAGUCUUCGCAAUCAAAGUACUAAUAAAAGAUAUCAUCAUACAAGAUGAUGAUGUUGAAUGUACAAUGACAGAAAAAAGAAUUCUUGCCAUCUCAGCUUCUCAUCCUUUUCUAACUUCGCUUCAUUCGUGUUUUCAAACUAAAGAUCGAUUAUUUUUUGUUAUGGAAUAUGUAAAUGGUGGGGACUUGAUGUUUCAAAUUCAACGAGCACGUAAAUUUGACGAAGCUCGGGCACGGUUUUAUUCUGCAGAAGUUAUGCUAGCACUUCAAUUUCUUCAUAAACAUGGUGUCAUAUAUCGUGAUCUAAAAUUGGAUAAUAUUCUACUUGACGCAGAAGGACAUUGUAAGAUUGCAGAUUUUGGAAUGUGUAAAGAAGGAAUUAAGGAUACAUCAACUACCAAUACGUUUUGUGGUACACCUGACUAUAUAGCCCCAGAGAUUUUACAAGAGUUAGACUAUGGAGCAAGUGUUGAUUGGUGGGCCUUGGGCGUUUUAAUGUAUGAAAUGAUGGCAGGACAACCACCCUUCGAGGCUGAUAAUGAAGAUGAUUUGUUUGAGUCCAUUUUACAUGAUGACGUUCUGUAUCCCGUUUGGCUGUCAAGAGAAGCUGUAUCUAUUCUUAAAGGGUUUAUGCAGAAAAAUGUGUCCAAGAGAUUAGGAUGUGUGGCUGCUCAUGGUGGCGAAGAAGCUAUUAAAGGUCAUUCUUUCUUUAAAGGUCUUAAUUGGAAGGAUUUGGAGGCACGUAAAAUAAAGCCACCAUUCAAGCCUAAAAUUAAAAGCAAGAAAGAUGCCAUGAACUUUGACACUGAGUUCACUAAAGAGGAUCCAGUAUUAACUCCAGUCAAUGCAGAAAUAGUUCGUACCAUUAAUCAAGAAGAAUUUAAAGGAUUCUCCUUUUAUAAUACGGACUUUGGAAAACUGAAUCGGAGACAUUAGAAAAAAUAACCUCUGAAAAGGACUUAAUUCAUUACUCAUAGUUAUUACUUACUUUCUUAUCGGAUCGGGCGGAGUUAUAUUCCUCCUAUUAACCUAAGAGUUACGCGUUCUUAUAUUUUUAAACAAAAAAACAACGGCAUCGCGCUUUACAAUCAACCUUGAUUAUUUUUUAAAACUAUAAUUAUUUUGAGGAUCAUGCACACCUUAUCAUGAUCAAAUUAGUUUCAUAUUUAGUUGGCAUUAAUUUAAUGUUAAGUACAUGAGGGGAGUGAUGAUGAUGUUACCUCCCUCAUUAUGUUUUAUUUAUUUACUUUUUAUUCUAUUCAUUUUUAAUUAGUAGUAUAAUUACCGUAAUGCUAAAAUCCAUUUAUUUACCUAUGUUCUCAUUGCUCAUUGUUAUUUUAUGAUUUGGAAGAGUUGUGCAAUAUCUCAAUAGGUAUUAUUUAUUCCUAUGUCUUCGACUGAAAAGAAGGUUCAAGUUAUAUUUAUUACAACCAAUAAAAAAGAUUUGAUUUUGAAAGCUUCUUUUUUAUUCUAAAUUAUUAUUUUUGACUUAAUAAUGUUUUUGUAUUUAUUUAUUUAUUUAUAUUUUAACAAAGUUUUGGGAUAAAAAAAAGAUAUGAGUUAUAUAUUGUUAUGUAUGUUAAUUUAAUUGUUCAAGGAAUUUAGUCAAAGAAGCGUGGUGGGGGGGUGUUGUUUGUACAAACGAAGUUCUUCAGCAUUCCUCUCUUUAUACACUACUACACUAUUAUUGUAAAAGACGUGUUUUUUUUAUCGAUGACAUAUUUAUUAGUUAAAUUAUUUUACUCCUAAUAUUACAUAUACAAAAUACCAACUAAAAUUAUAAGAAAAUACAGUUAUUAAGGCCUUAUUCAUUUUUAUAUAACCCAAAAGAUUAUACAAAAAAAAUAUAAAUGAAAACACUACAUAAAUAGUAUUGUGUAAAAAACUGGUAUAUUAUUUAUUAUUAAUGUUCUUUUAAUUUCUUUCAUUUUUAAUGACCCAACAACAACGUCGUCGUUCUUGUCUGUCGUUAUUAGGUCUCAAAUUUAUCCUUGGUAAUUGUCAAGAAAUGAAUAAUUAAUCAUGCAAAUGAACCGUGUUGACACACGGUAGUGACUCUCUCUAUUUAUAAGUUGUGAAUGUAACUUACUUAGAACAACCACCCACAAAUUGUAUGUUCAAUACUGAUAUAGGUAUGAAUGUGUAUUUUUAAUAAUUAUAAUAAAAAAGGAUAUUUAUCUAUUAA
rnacentral:misc_RNA from 1 species